rnacentral:rRNA from 1 species
UACGAAGGGGGCUAGCGUUGUUCGGAAUCACUGGGCGUAAAGGGCGCGUAGGCGGCUUUAUAAGUCGGGGGUGAAAGCCUGUGGCUCAACCACAGAAUUGCCUUCGAUACUGUAGAGCUUGAGACCGGAAGAGGUAAGUGGAACUGCGAGUGUAGAGGUGAAAUUCGUAGAUAUUCGCAAGAACACCAGUGGCGAAGGCGGCUAACUGGUCCGGUACUGACGCUGAGGUGCGAAAGCGUGGGGAGCAAACAGG